UCGAGAAUCUUCGGCAAUGGGCGAAAGCCUGACCGAGCGACGCCGCGUGCGGGAUGAAGGCCUUCGGGUUGUAAACCGCUGUCAGAGGGGAUGAAAUCCCAUAGGGCUAUCCCUAUGGGUUGACAUAUCCUCAGAGGAAGGACGGGCUAAGUUCGUGCCAGCAGCCGCGGUAAGACGAACCGUCCGAACGUUAUUCGGAAUUACUGGGCUUAAAGGGUGCGUAGGCGGCGCGGCAAGUUGGGUGUGAAAUCCCUCGGCUCAACCGAGGAAUUGCGCCCAAAACUGCCGCACUCGAGGGAGACAGAGGUGAGCGGAACUUAGGGUGGAGCGGUGAAAUGCGUUGAUAUCCUAAGGAACACCGGUGGCGAAAGCGGCUCACUGGGUCUCUUCUGACGCUGAGGCACGAAAGCUAGGGUAGCGAACGGGAUUAGAUACCCCCGUAGUCC
rnacentral:rRNA from 1 species